rnacentral:ncRNA from 1 species
AGAAAAUUUGAUUUUUGUUUUUAAAUUUAAUUUAUAUUUUUAUUAUAUGUAAAUUUUUGUGUUAAGUAGGUAAUUUAAAAUAGUUAUUUAUUUAAUUUAUAGCAAUAAUAAAUUUUAUAUUAUAAAAGAAAUUUUGAUAUAGGAAUAUAUAAUUAUAUUGAUAAAAUUUGUGCCAGCAAUCGCGGUUAAACAGGUGAUAUAAUUAAAUUUUAUUUAAUAAUAAUAAAUAAGUUUAAAUUAAUUAAAAAUUAAAUUUAUUAGGUGAAAUUAUAAAUUUAAAUAAAAUUAAUAUAAAGAUUAUAAGGUUAUGAAAUUUUAAAAUUAAACUAGGAUUAGAUACCCUAUUAUAAAAAAUAUAAAUUAAAAUGUUAGGGGAGUAUUAGUUAUUAUCUUGAAAUUUAAAGAAUUUGGCGGUAUUUUAGUCUUUUCAGAGGAACCUGUCCUGUAAUUGAUAAUCCACGAUUAAUUGAACUUAAUUUUAAUAGUUUAUAUAUCGUCGUAGUUUUGAAUAUCUUUAGAGAGAUAAAUUAAUAUUCAUGAUUUAUAAUUAGAUAAAAUUAGAUAAAGGAAAUCAGAUCAAGGUGUAGCUUAUAGUUAAGGAGAGAUGGGUUACAAUAAAUUUAUUUAGAUGGAUAUAAUAUUUAAAAUUAUUAUUGAAAUUGGAUUUGAAAGUAAUUAAUUUUAUUUUAAAUUAGUGAUUUUAGCUCUAAAAUAUGUACAUAUCGCCCGUCGCUUUCAUUGAAAAUUAAAUUGAAAUAAGUCGUAACAUAGUGGGUGUACCGGAAGGUGUGCCUAGUUUGUU